rnacentral:rRNA from 1 species
AGGAAGGUCCCCCACACUGGAACUGAGACACGGUCCAGACUCCUACGGGAGGCAGCAGUGAGGAAUAUUGGUCAAUGGGCGCGAGCCUGAACCAGCCACGUCGCGUGAAGGAUGACGGCCUUAUGGGUUGUAAACUUCUUUUACAGGGGAAUAAAGUGAGUCACGUGUGAUUUUUUGCAUGUACCCUGUGAAUAAGCAUCGGCUAACUCCGUGCCAGCAGCCGCGGUAAUACGGAGGAUGCGAGCGUUAUCCGGAUUUAUUGGGUUUAAAGGGUGCGUAGGCGGGAUAUUAAGUCAGCGGUGAAAGUUUUCGGCUCAACCUUAAAAUUGCCGUUGAAACUGUUAUUCUUGAGUGCAGUAGAGGUAGGCGGAAUUCGUUGUGUAGCGGUGAAAUGCGUAGAUAUAACGAGGAACUCCGAUUGCGUAGGCAGCUUACUAUAUUGCUACUGACGCUGAGGCACGAAAGUGUGGGUAUCAAACAGGAUUAGAUACCCUGGUAGUCCACACAGUAAACGAUGAAUACUAGCUGUUUGCGAUAUAUUGUAAGCGGCCGAGCGAAAGCAUUAAGUAUUCCACCUGGGGAGUACGUCGGCAACGAUGAAACUCAAAGGAAUUGACGGGGGCCCGCACAAGCGGAGGAACAUGUGGUUUAAUUCGAUGAUACGCGAGGAACCUUACCCGGGCUUGAAAUGCAGAUGACCGAAGUGGAGACACUUUUUCCAGCGAUGGCGUCUGUGUAGGUGCUGCAUGGUUGUCGUCAGCUCGUGCCGUGAGGUGUCGGCUUAAGUGCCAUAACGAGCGCAACCCUCAUUACUAGUUACCAUCAGGUCUAGCUGGGGACUCUAGUGAGACUGCCGGCGUAAGCUGUGAGGAAGGUGGGGAUGACGUCAAAUCAGCACGGCCCUUAUGUCCGGGGCGACACACGUGUUACAAUGGGGAGUACAGCGGGAAGCUACCUGGCGACAGGAUGCCAAUCUUUUAAAACUCUUCUCAGUUCGGAUCGGAGUCUGCAACUCGACUUCGUGAAGCUGGAUUCGCUAGUAAUCGCGCAUCAGCCACGGCGCGGUGAAUACGUUCCC